CCUACAAUGCGGGUUGGACAGUACGAGACAACCUUCCAAAGUUCCCUGUCAGAGAUUUUAAUUUGUGCACAAUGCUAUUGAGACUUGCUUUCCCAUUUUGCCCUAGUCUUGCACUUGCUUUCCUCACAUUUCCCUUCACUUCUACCUUUCCCAAUCGACCCACUACGCGCCGCUUGCCUCGCCAUUAACUGGAUCUCUCUUCUUACCAUUUUCACUGCUCCUUCGACCACCAUAGCUUCUUAGUUCAACGACAUACCAGCGGGGUUUAAGCUAUUCCACAAGGGAAUGGCGCGCCAAUUUUUCCUGCAUCAUUUCCAACCAACGUCUGUCCGACCAUCCUACUAGUAUCUAUCCAAUGUCCAAUCGGGGAGAAUUAAUCUCUUUCACAACCACUGGAUUCUAGCUUCUCCAUCCUGUCAACGCCUCACCUCCAGCAAGAUUGGACGCCAAUUCAUUUUCAGUUCCUUCGAAAUUCUCUCCUGCACCACAAAUUCACUGGCGACAAUGGACAACUACGGCCAACAAUGGGACUCUUUUCCCGAACACCUGCACGGCACCAGUGGCGACGCCCAUCCGAUGUACUUUACUGCAUCUGACCCGCAAGAGCCUCAACCAACAAUGCGAACAUCUGCCAAAUGGAACUCCUUGGAGCUCAGGGUCUUCAUCGCAUCAUGUGAAACUGUGAUUACAGAAGGCCACCGAUUCAACAAGUCAGCAGGAAAGAGUUGGACCACGUUGCAAAUGAAAAACUAAUGGAGGAAACUGCAGGAAUAGCACAAAUACAUGUUCGAGCUGCUAUGAUGCAUUGGAAUUGCGUACCGCUCGAGCACCGGUACAAUCAUCGCCCCUGAGCAUUGGUGGGAAUCCAAAAUCAAGGUAUCCUAUGUUGUGCUCCAUUAAAACUUGUGCACAAUACCUUUCAUGUUUCAAGUAUUUAGACUCAUGUUGUAUACACAACACAUGUUAAGUACUAGCUUUUUAUAUCAAAUUAGGAUUUUCUUUCACAAAUAAGUUGUUGAUUCCGAACCCAUUUAUCCUUUUAUGAACAUUCCCUUAUUAAUAUUAAUAAUAAUAAUAUUAUUGGUAUUGUUGUUAUUAUUUAUUGGUUUGUUACAUCCUUUGCAAAGAAAACAACUGAACUUGAUUGGCCUGAUUUCAGUAUGACCGAUUUCAGAUUAUUAUUAUUUUGUUGGUUGGUUUCAUGGGAGCAAUGGUACUCAAUUGUGUCUAUUGAAUACUUUUUAAAAAGAUUAAAUUUGAAUCUUUACAUGAAGAGAAUGAGUACCCCGUGUAUGGGUUUUGUGCAUAUCUUCACCCAUAAUAAUCCUUAAGGCUUGUUCCAUUAUGCUGUGAAGUAAUAAAUGUUACUUUCAAUAACUUCAAAUAGGUACCAUAUAUUUACGUUAUCUUUUGCUUACCUUGAAAUUGUUAUGUAUAAUCCUUUUUCCUUUCCUUCUUGUUUGGAAACUGGAGAACUCGAAAUAUGCGAAGUACAAGCACGUGGACUGCAGUGAGAUUUAUGAUACAUAUGGAAAACUGUUCAACGACACAGUGACUUGACUAAGUACGCGUUGUCCCCAUCAAAGCUGUCACAGCGUGGUUUUGAGUUGGGUACAGAUAGGGAUUGAGAUGAUGCCGACGACAAGUUCCUAAUCAACGUGGAAGAAACUGAUUCUAGUGGAAGUCUGAACGAAGACAGAGGAAACUCAUCCAUGAACAUUUUCGGGAGACGAAGUGGGGAUAGACGGAAAAGGCAAACAAUGAAGGGACAAAGAAAGUAAGAAAAGGUACAGUGCCCGAGAUGUUUCGGCAUCGCUCGAGCAGAUGGUUAGCAUCGGAACGGAUCUCGCCUCAAUUACGAGAUCACAUCGUAAAGGAGAAAUUUCGAUCGCUGAGUGUGUCGACAAACUUCUGUCGUCUGGUUACAUGAAGAAGGCUAAUGUACUCCACUUGUUUUGUGGUUCCUCUAUGACAAAGAUAACCGAAAUUCUUAUUGUGCUGCAAAGACAACAGCUCUUCGUUUCAAGUUUGUGGAGUACUGUUUUGAGCAAGACAACACGGGCAACAAUGAAAGGGGUGACUCAGUGGCCUUCUGCUUCUGUGGUGGUGGUGUUUAUUUGGUUUUUUUAACGUUCCAAACGUUUUUCCCCGUAUUAUGCAUGCUGUAGAAUUGUAACAUAAUUGAACUAGACAAUUUUCUAUGCCCAAUUUGAAUAUGUUGUCACUA